GGCUCAAUGGUCUAGUGGUAUGAUUGUCGCUUUGGGUUUUGCAAUUGUUUGUUGACGCCGCUUUGGCCUCAUCUUACUGCUUGUAACUUGAAAUUUGGAUGUGACAGGUCCCGAGUUCGAUCCUCGGUUGAGCCC